CAUGAUUUCGCAGGAUAUAGGGGAAGGAGUUCUUGCUUCAUGUGGGUCUUAUUUUAAGGUGCUUUUGAUGCUUGUUUAAUAUAUGCAUAUAUCUACUUUUACGUUACUAUGCACUAGACUGGAGUCUUUUAAUCAUGGUCAAAGGUCUAUGUCUAAAAUUUCUAGUUCGCUCUCCCUUUCAUACGGAUAGCCAAAUAGAAAUAUAUCUUUCCCUUAAGCUAUUCUGUUACAUCCAUCAUUUUUUGUUCUGUUCUAUUUGUGCAAUCUGAACUUGUUGUAUGCUACAAUGUGCUGAUCAUAUUUUUUUUUUGCUGUUGGUGCUGUGUAGUGAAAGCUUGGAGUUAGGCUCAUUAGGUUAGCAUUGGAAGCGGAUGAUUGGCUUACACACAUAAGGAUAUUGAUGUGGUUUGAGCUGAAUGGGCAAAUCAUGUUAUGCAGUUCUAACUUUGGUUCUGUUUAAGGUAAAUGAUCGAGAUAAGAUGGUUUUUUGGUUCUCUUGAUCAUAAUGUAACUGUUGGCUAGGUUUAGAGUUGGAACUAUGGAUUGUAUUUUGGAUGAUGUUGAUGCAAUUAAUGAAACGUAGCCAUCAUUUUCAAUGCUGA